GCAUAUCAAUAAGCGGAGGAAAAAGAAAACCUAACCAAAGGAUUUCCCCUAGUAAACGGCGAGGCGAAGCGGGAAGAGCUUCAAAUUUGAAAGCUGGCACCCUCCCGGUGUCCGCGUUGUAAAUUUUCGAGACGUGUUUUCCGCGUGGCGCCAUGGACAAGUUCCCUGGAAAUGGGACAUCGUAGAGGGUGAAAAUCCCGUACUUGCCAUGGACGUACCAUGCUUUGCGAUACACGCUCCAAGAGUCGAGUAGUUUGGGAUUGCUGCUCAAAAUGGGUGGUAGACUCCAUCUAAAGCUAAAUAUCGGGGAGAGACCGAUAGCGAACAAGUACCGUGAGGGAAAGAUGAAAAGCACUUUGGAAAGAGAGUUAAAAGUACGUGAAAUUGUCGAAAUGGAAGCGCUUGAAGUCAGCCAUGCGGCUGGGGACUCACCUUGGCGUCUCGCUGAGGGUAUUUCUCCAGUAGCAAGUCAGCAUUGGUUUGCGGCGCCGGAGAAGGGUCCAGGGAAGGUGGCACCCUCGGGUGUGUUAUAGCCCUGGACUGGAUACGGCGCGGCGGACCAAGGAACGCAGUGUGCCCUCGUGGCGGGUCUUCGGACACCUUCACACUUAGGAUGCUGGCGUAAUGGCUUUAAGCGGCCCGUCUUGAAACACGGACCAAGGAGUCUAACAUAUGUGCGAGUUUUUGGGUGGCAAACCCAUGAGCGUAAUGAAAGUGAAUGCAGGUGGGAUCCGCAAGGGAGCACCAUCGACCGGUCUGGCGCUUCGGCUAAAGAUCCGAGUAAGAGCAUAUAUGUUGGGACCCGAAAGAUGGUGAACUAUGCCUGAAUAGGGCGAAGCCAGAGGAAACUCUGGUGGAGGCUUCGUAGCGGUUCUGACGUGCAAAUCGAUCGUCAAAUUUAGGGUAUAGGGCGAAAGACUAAAUCGAAACCAUCUAGUAGCUGGGUUCCUGCCGAAG
rnacentral:rRNA from 1 species